UACGUAGGGUGCAAGCGUUGUCCGGAAUUAUUGGGCGUAAAGAGCUCGUAGGCGGUUUGUCACGUCGGGAGUGAAAACUCGGGGCUCAACCCCGAGCCUGCUUCCGAUACGGGCAGACUAGAGGUAUGCAGGGGAGAAUGGAAUUCCUGGUGUAGCGGUGAAAUGCGCAGAUAUCAGGAGGAACACCGGUGGCGAAGGCGGUCUCUGGGCAUUACCUGACGCUGAGGAGCGAAAGUGUGGGGAGCGAACAGG
rnacentral:rRNA from 1 species